UGUCAGUGGACAUAGAAAAUUAAAUGG
rnacentral:piRNA from 1 species